GACUAAGUCUCACUUUGUCAGACUAGAGUGCAGUGACACAGUCACAGCUCACUGCAGCCUCAAUCUCCCAGGCUCAAGCAAUCCUCCCACUUCAGCCUUCUGAAGAACUGUAUCCAUAGCCGCUGCUGUCCUGCCAUGGUGGCUCUCUAAUGCCAGCGCCACCUCCAGCUCACUAGCUCCAGCCCAUGGAGGAAGGGAGGCGGCCAGAACUCCCUUCCCCUCCUAUCAUUAUCACGUGUGUCUGGGUUUUACCUUUUGCACAUCUGAAAAGACUUAGAAGAAUUAGGAGACUUGAAAGAGAUGAAUGGUAUUGUAAGGAAAGAUACUGAAGCCACAACAAGAAAUAGAAAUGGGAGUGAGAAAUAAAUAGACUGACACAUUUUCCA
rnacentral:lncRNA from 13 species